GGGGGUAUUUCAUGGAAUAAUACUGGGAGUAUCUCAUAGGAUCUGGGAGAACAGCUGGAUACACCUGGACAUGGAGCAUUGUUUAAAGCAGCAUCUGAGCCAAGAGGGCUUCGAGCUCAGGUUUUUCCAUUGCCGAGUUAACUGCAGGUCCGAGCUGGCAGCGUCCCGUGCAUCUGGGGGCCAAAUACGAGUGGCAAAUCAACUUUGGCAUGGAACUGCUGGAGGAGAGGAGUUUCUGGUGGGCUCCCAGUGGCAUCUGAUGGAGUGACGGUGAGAGCAUCUCAUAGGGUCUGGGGGAGCACGUGGAUGCACCUGGACGUGGAGCACUGCUUAAAGGAGGUGGUGAGGGACAAAGCUUUUUGCCAGGAAGCAGCACCUGAACAGAUGAGCCAGUGUGGAUUUGCAGGGGUGAUCUUUCUCCUUUUCCCUUUUGAUUUAAUCUUUUCAGUCUCUCCUCAAUGCCCUCAAUCUGUCACAAGAAUUCCAAAAAUAAAAAGGCUGAGUGAACAGUGAAAAGAAGGGGUAUAGCUAAGGUGGAGUUCAGGUGUACCUCACCCCAAACCCUAAACAGCAACCCUAACAGCGCUCCUGUUUCCCUG